AAAAGAAAUAAUUCUCUUAAAAGAUAGAUCAUCUUAUAGAUAUAAUUUUUUGGAUCAUUCCAUUUUCCACAUUUUUUCUUUCUAUGUUUUUUGGUGAGUUAGAAUUCUAUUUGUUGAAUUCCAAGUUUCCAACCCACCAUUAGGCUAGAUAUUGCAGUUCUUUAAUACAAGUUCCUACCGAAUUUGAAUUACAAUUAAGUAAACCGUACUAAUAAUAAAUAAAUCAACUUGGAACCGGUUGGGCGCUUUUAGCCUAUAUUUUCGCUAAUCGUUGCUCUUAGGUCGUCCCUCUGGCCUUGUACUUAUUCGCCAUGAAAGUGUUUGGUAUAUCUUGUAUUAUCUGUCUCUCUAUCUCUUGCGGCCACGUGCGUCUAUCUUCGUGCACUCUCUUGUUUUUUUCGGUCCAAAUCCCUCAAAUUGCCGCAACCGUGUAUGCCCAUGUUAGACCCCACCCAACAUGGUGUGUUCUUCGUUCUGACGUGAACCUCUGCCAUUACCUGUUUUAAAGAGAGUCAUACGCAUGUAAUCAACCCUAGUUUUGCAUUUAGUAUAUAAGACCAUAAAUCCAUAGAAAAUUUACAUCUGAAGAAUACAUAAUCUUGCGAUUUUCAUGGUCCUCCACAUAAGAUAUAUAUAGUCGGUAUUUCCCUCUCUCAUUCUUCUAGCCCAAUCAGUUUUUAUCGAUAUCUUUUCUCAUCUAGCCCCUUAUAAUGUUAUGUUAAAUUUCAUAAUGCUAGUGGUCCAUACCCCUUUCCAAAAUUUGU
rnacentral:lncRNA from 1 species